UGUCCCUGCCCAUGGCAGGGGGUGGAACUGGAUGAUCUUUAAGGUCCUUUCCAACCCAAAGCUUCUGUGAUUCCACGAUUUUGCUUCUACAGGAAAACCAGGAUGUGCAAAACCAUCAGUGCAGCACCUUCAGUUCAACUUUAAAACAGCUUAAAAACCUCUCAAAGCAAACUGAAAGAACUUAAAACUGCCAUGAAAGGUGAGAUACUCACCAGGACACUGGGAGGAGAGGGAAUAUCCAUAAUUUCCACCUUAGUGAGGGAAAUCUGGGCACCACUUUUCACCAGCUCAAUUUUCUCCUCAUACUCAGCCUGCAGAGGAAAAACAAACCAUCAUCCUCCACCUCAGCUUGAAUUAAGAGAUCCCUCUUCAUUUCACAUUUACACUUUACAUUUGAACUUUUCCAGAGAGUUUUUUAAAGAAGUUCCACGAAUUUCUAAAGAAAUCUAAAAGAACCAAGAGAUCAGACUUGUUAAUGUGGGAUCCAAUUUUGAAACACGUGGAUAAAGGACAGGGGGUUUUUGCCUUUGUAAAAUUGAAGAUAUUCACUGUAAAUUUAUUUAAAUAACCUGGACUUAAAACUGUGUCUUUCUUUUGUAA